AGUGAACGCUGGCGGUAGGCCUAACACAUGCAAGUCGAACGGCAGCACAGUAAGCGCUUGCUCUUACGGUUAGCGAGUGGCGGGCGGGUGAGAAGUACAUCGGCAUCUACUUUUUCGUGGGGGACAACGUAGGGAAACUUACGCUAAUACCGCAUACGACCUACCGGAGAAUGCAGUAGAGCUUCGCACCUUGCGCGAUUGAAUGAGCCGAUGCCGGAUUAGCUAGUUGGCGAGGUAAAGGCACACCAAGGCGACGAUCCGUAGCUGGUCUGAGAGGAUGAUCAGCCACACUGGAACUGAGACACGGUCCAGACUCCUACGGGAGGCAGCAGUGGGGAAUAUUGGACAAUGGGCGCAAGCCUGAUCCAGCCAUACCGCGUGAGUGAAGAAGGCCUUCGGGUUGUAAAGCCCUUUUGUUGGGAAAGAAAAGCAGUAGGUGAAUACCCCGCUGUUCUGACGGUACCCAAAGAAUAAGCACCGGCUAACUUCGUG
rnacentral:rRNA from 1 species